AUUGAACGCUGGCGGCAUGCCUUACACAUGCAAGUCGAACGGCAGCGGGGGAGAAGCUUGCUUUUCCUGCCGGCGAGUGGCGAACGGGUGAGUAAUACAUCGGAACGUGCCCUGUAGUGGGGGAUAACUAGUCGAAAGAUUAGCUAAUACCGCAUACGACCUGAGGGUGAAAGUGGGGGACCGCAAGGCCUCAUGCUAUAGGAGCGGCCGAUGUCUGAUUAGCUAGUUGGUGGGGUAAAGGCCUACCAAGGCGACGAUCAGUAGCUGGUCUGAGAGGACGAUCAGCCGCACUGGGACUGAGACACGGCCCAGACUCCUACGGGAGGCAGCAGUGGGGAAUUUUGGACAAUGGGCGAAAGCCUGAUCCAGCGAUGCCGCGUGUGUGAAGAAGGCCUUCGGGUUGUAAAGCACUUUUGUCCGGAAAGAAAUGGCUCUGGUUAAUACCUGGGGUCGAUGACGGUACCGGAAGAAUAAGGACCGGCUAACUACGUGCCAGCCGCCGCAGUAA
rnacentral:rRNA from 1 species